CCUGUUUUACGGAACAGUGAAUUUACACCAAUGCACAAUCCAAAAGCAUACACAAUAUACAGUAAUGUUAUAGUUUCCUUCGUCCAUAUCAUCGCUUGUGACACACACGACCAAGUUCGUGCUUUGUUCAAUACAGAUUUAGUAUUAAUGCGCAAAAGAUGUAGUUACCAAACCACGACAGAAGUGAAAUGCUUGAUGACUCUAUAGAUAUCUCGAACAGUGUCUCAACUCUCUUGUCUUUAAACUUGACGAAUCCAAA